AUACGUAGGGUGCAAGCGUUAAUCGGAAUUACUGGGCGUAAAGCGUGCGCAGGCGGUUUUGUAAGACAGAGGUGAAAUCCCCGGGCUCAACCUGGGAACUGCCUUUGUGACUGCAAGGCUAGAGUACGGCAGAGGGGGAUGGAAUUCCGCGUGUAGCAGUGAAAUGCGUAGAUAUGCGGAGGAACACCGAUGGCGAAGGCAAUCCCCUGGGCCUGUACUGACGCUCAUGCACGAAAGCGUGGGGAGCAAACAGGAUUAGAUUCCCUGGUAGUCCACGCCCUAAACGAUGUCAACUGGUUGUUGGGGAUUUAUUUUCUCAGCAACGAAGCUAACGCGUGAAGUUGACCGCCUGGGGAGUACGGCCGCAAGGUUAAAACUUAAAGGAAUUGACGGGG
rnacentral:rRNA from 1 species